ensembl:lncRNA
GCCUCAAGCUGGGUUGACCAUGGGGAGAGAGGCGGGACAGGAGGCGGUGGCCAGAUGAGGAAGAGUGGCAGCUACUCUGUCUGUUUAAGGUUGAGUGUUCAUACAGGAAAUGUGUAGAUUCCACACGUACAAUUCAGAGUUUUGGGAAAUGCACACCCGUGUCCCACGUUCCAGGGCAGAAGCUCUCCAGGACUCCAAAACAUUCCUUGGCACCCAUCCAGCCCAUCCUGCAGGGAAUUGCUGUCCUGAUUCCAUCACCACAGUUGGCUUUGGCAGUUCUCAGUUUCUUCCACACGGCAUCCCCACAUGGAGCCUUCUGCCACCUGCCCUCUGUUCCUGGGCACCGUCAUAGAUGGACCAGCCACAGUCUGCCAGUCGCUCUCCUGCUGACGGACGUCCGGCUGCUCCCAGUCCACUCACCAACCGAAGCGGCUGUGAACAUCCAUGUGCGUCUUUCCGAACUUGCGACAUCGCACCCUUACUCAAGAUGUGGUUCCCAGCUUCCGGGGCCUGAGGCAUCACCACCUGGAACUGCGAGAAGGAGAAGGACAUGGUCUGCAACCUGUGUGGGGAGCGCUGCUGUCUAGAAGCUGUCUGUGCAGAAAGUGCUGCCGGACCAGCCAGCGCGGAGGGUGGGAGGACACCUGUGCUUGCUCAUCUCACCAACCCGGAGGUCUCCCUCGGGCAGGGGUCAGGGAACCGCACCGGCCAACCGACGUUGGAUGGAAUGGAAACAAUCCCUCCACGUGCUUCCUUAAUCGUAGCGUAAAAAAUGCAUUGAAAAGACCAAAUGACAGUUGUCUGAAACAUGAAUGUGUUUAACUUUUCCAUAACGAGCAAAGAUGACCGGAUUGGGUUUGGAAACGUGAACACUGCUGUCUGCAAACAUGCAUGGAAGACAACAUAUCUCAAAAGGUUAACAGUGAAACAUAACAAGGAGAAACAAAAUCCAAAAAGGGAAGUGAGGACCCCAGCACUGGUGCUGUCCGGGAAAGGUUCACAGCAAAGCCACAGCUAGGGUCAUUUUUCAUCGACGUGGAUGAGAGCAGACCACAGCGUUGGGCCAUCUUAGCUGCAGUGGCAGAAGGGAAAAACAAAAGAGGCCUCAGACCUCCAUCCACCCCCAACCCCCGGUGACGGAUGGUGGUUAGGAUGGCACUCAGCUAUAGGGGUCCCGAGGUGGGCGAAUAGGUCCUGUAUGUCCCCAGCUCAGGCUGUUGGAUCUAGGGUAGCUUUUGAGGUGGGCAGGUGGGGCUGGCCUCACAGGGGAGCUGGUGAGGGCUGGAAGGGGGCUGGGGAGACACCUGGGACCCCCACAGUCUGCUAGACCCCAGUGCUCCCUCAGAUCCCCUGGGUCCCUGUCCCGUCGAGGAUGCUUCCUGGGAGGGAACUGCAGCCAGAGGCUCCCAAGGAGAGGCCCAAGCCUGGCACUGCCCCCACGGUUCUGGAUCAGGGUGGAUGGUUGCAGGGGAAGACCCUCCUGACAGGCCUGAGGUCUUAGGGCUCUGCGCCUCCGGCCAAUCCCCUGCCUUCUUGAGGCCAGUGGGUCCCAGCUCCUCCUGCACCAGGACAGGAGGGGCCAGGAAAGCGCAGGAGCCUGCUUUGACCUAGGAGUCAGGGAGCCAUGCUGGGGACGGCCCAGGAAGGAUUGGGGUCUCUGAUCACUCAGAGCAUCGGGGUGACUGGCUUCGCCCUCCUAUCUGGAUACUUAGUGUGAUGAUCUGAAACAUUACUUUUCUAAACCGGGAACAAGCAUGGGCCUGAUGGGCUAAGGUUUCUUUCCUAACUAUUUUUUCAAAGUCGAGCUGCUCUGUAUGGGGAGCACCCAGAACAAAAGGGGGUCCUAGCAUCUCCUCCUGACCUGGAGUCCACAGGUGAGAAGCACAGUGCGGCCACCAGCUUGGAGGAUGGUUCAGGGAUCAAGGCACUUCCCUUCUUGAAGCAGGUGAUACUGUUUGGCUCCGUGUCCCCACCCACAUCUCAUCUCAAAUUGUAAUCCCCACGUGUUGAGGGAGGGAGGUGGCUGGAUCCCGGGGGUGGCCUCCCCCGUGCUGUUCUUGUGAUAGUGAGUGAGUUCACUUGUGAUCUGACAGCUUUGUAAGUAUUUGGAAGUUCCUCCUUCAUGCUUCUCUCUCCUGCUGCCAUGUGAAGAAGGACGUGUUUGCUUCCCCUUCUGCCGCGAUUGUAAGUUUCCUGAGACCUCCUCAGCCAUGUGGAACUGUAAGUCAAUGGAAUCUCUUUUAGUUAUAAAUCACCCAGUCUUGGCUGGGCUUGGUGGCUCACGCCUGUAAUCCCAGCACUUUGGGAGGCCAAGGAGAGCAGAUCACUAGGUCAGGAGAUCAAGACCAUCUAACAUGUUAAACCCCGUCUCUACUAAAAAUGCAAAAAAAAUUAGCGGGGCAUUGUGGCAGGUACCUGUAAUCCAGCUACUCGGGAGGCUGAGGCAGGAGAAUGGCGUGAACCCGGGAGGCGGAGCUUGCAGUGAGCCUGGAUCGCGCCACUGCACUCCAGCCUGGGUAACAGAGCAAGACUCUGUCUCAAAAAAAAAAAAAAAAAAAAUCACCCAGUCUUGGGCAGUUCUUUAGAGCAGUGUGAGAAUGGCUGAAUGCACAGGAAGCUCACAUUCAUGGCUUCUCACAUCCCUUCAGGAAGAGGGUCUUGGACACACUCUGGACACAGCAGCCCUAAGGCCCCUUGGCUGAGGUGUUUUAGUACCAAAUCUAGAGCCUUGGGCUGGUCCUCUUGGGUUGACCUUGUUGGAUCUGGCCGGCCCCAGCCCAUCCAGGCCUGAUUUGCUCCUGACCCCGAAGCCUGGGGAGUCAGAGUCCCAGCUGCUGGGAGGAGUGGGAGGGAGAGGGAGAGAUGUGGGUGGCCAGAGAGCCCCCGAGGGGCUCCAGUGGGGAUGCAGGGGCUCAGCCAGCAUUGCCAUCCCGACACACGGGGUGCUUGGAGAUGAACCAGGGCUGGGACCUGACGGUGGGGUCUCGGUGCCUGGGAGGCAGGGGUGGCUGUGACAGGGCAGGGGGCUGUUGCAGGGGUUUGCCCAGAGUCCUGCCAGCCUGGAAAAGGUAGUUUUGCUGUUGAAUUGUCUGAUUAUUUGGGGCCGAGCGGCCUCCAGGGCUGAGGCAGGAGGUGCACAUGGGGGCUGGGGGCUGGGGGCCGGGGAGCAGGAGCCCCAGGGGCUGGGGCUGAGCCGGAGCUUGGCCAAGUGUCAGUCCAGCGGGAGGUGUGAGGGCCAUGCUGACUAGCCGUGGGAGUGUGUGUCCCUCCUGUGCCUCAGUUUCUACAAGAUGAGAGGCUGGGACCUUGGAGUCGGCCCCCACAGGAAGUGUGAGGUGCAAUGUGAGGC